GAGGAGAGCAUGGUGUUUUUGCUUCAUUGGAUCCAUGCAGGUCUUGGAGGGUGGUGGCCCACUCUUUCUGGGCCAAGUAGAGGGUGGCUCAGACACCCCCCCUUCCUCCAGGCUUCUCAUCUGUAACUGGUGAAGCCCGGAAGAGCUUGUUGUUCAAGAGGAAAUCUUGUGUUACUUCUUUAUGAAGGACUCCAGCCUGGUGGAGAUGAAUGAGUCCUGAAGAUGGAAUCGAAGCUGUUUGGGCACAAACAAGGUUUCACUCUUGUUGCCCAGGCUGGAGUGCAAUGGUGUGAUCUAGGCUCACUGCAACCUCCACCUCCCGGGUUCAAGUGAUUCUCCUGUCUCAGGCUCCCAAGUAGGUGGGAUUACAGUACUUUAAUCAGCAUUUAAUGACCCAGUCGAAAAUUCAUUGUUUGGACCCAAGCACUGGUGGGAAAGGCAGGAGGGGAGGCCUGCCUUCCUUCCUCCCUCCCGAGCCCUACAGCAGGCCAUGGAGUGGUGAGCGAGUUCGUACAGUGCCAACCACAUUCCCAGAAACUUCCAGCAGAGGUUAAUCCUGCUCCUCUCAGGUGGGCUUGGCCCAUUCUCUAGACUUUGGAAGGUAAUGUUCUAUAGAGGCCUGUUCUGAAGCUUUACCAGGUCAAACCGGAGAAGAACCCAACAAGUAACUCAUCCCAGCCUAACUAUUCUUCAAGGGCAAUCAACCUACAGCAUCCAAGCACAGAGAAAUCAAAUCCAUGGAGAAUCUUCAAAUUAGGCUCAGAAUCCAUUUGGGUCAAUGAAUUUACUGUUAUUAAGAUCUUAGUUGUGUUCAACCAUGAUUUGACAUACCUUAGAGUGAGAAGAUAUUCUUCCUGGCCUCAGACUAGUUGAAGGUAGAGAGAGAGACAGGCCCUUGGGUGUGGGGAGACCUCUCCUGGGAUAAUACACACAAAAAACCAAGAGCUGCUCACUGUGGUGCAGGAGACAGCAGGGCCUGAAGCCAGAGGCUCUGUGUCCUUGAAUACAAUGUUUUACUCCUCUGACCCCUGUUACUGUGAUUUGGAGAGGCAGACAAUAUAGGAUGGGCUUUGCAGGCAGGGAGGUCCAGUUAUAAUCCCAGCUCUUACUAAGUUGGGUAAGACUCACUCUGAGACUUAGUUUCUUCUGUCAUCUCUCAAUAGAAUCAUAAAGGUACUUUCCUCUUAGUGUUGUUUUAAAAUUCAGUAAAAUAAUGCAGGCUUAGCACAGGGUCUGAUGUAAAUUUUCAAUGAAUUAUCGUUGUCAAUAUUGUUCUGGAAAACAAGAGGGCAUAUUAGAAGAUCAAAAGUACUGCCAAGCAUUGAAGUGCCAAUUCUAGAUCCAGUCUCAGCCCUCUGAGAAUGGAUAUCAUUGUUUUCAAGCCAUUCAGAAACCAAUGUGAAUUGAACACCUAGUAUGAGCUCUCUGAGGGAAGAGCCAAGUCAUGCAUUUUUUAUCUUAAGGGGUCUUCAAUACCUCUAGCCCAAAACAGUAUCUCCAUCAGGAUUCUUCUCUGAUAGUGUUCAUUUCUUUUUUCUCAAUGGAUGCCUUAAAAAAAAAAUCCUACAAGGAAACCUGUACUCCUCAAAUACACCACUCAGGUGACCAUUAAAUCAUUUACAUUGUUAA
ensembl:lncRNA ZNF503-AS1 ZNF503 antisense RNA 1